rnacentral:rRNA from 1 species
AGGUGGUUGAUCGCGUCGGAAGUGUAAUCUUGGGGCUUAACCCUGAGCGUGCUUUCGAUACGGGUUGACUUGAGGAAGGUAGGGGAGAAUGGAAUUCCUGGUGGAGCGGUGGAAUGCGCAGAUAUCAGGAGGAACACCAGUGGCGAAGGCGGUUCUCUGGGCCUUUCCUGACGCUGAGGAGCGAAAGCGUGGGGAGCGAACAGGCUUAGAUACCCUGGUAGUCCACGCUGUAAACGGUGGGUACUAGGUGUGGGGUCCAUUCCACGGGUUCCGUGCCGUAGCUAACGCUUUAAGUACCCCGCCUGGGGAGUACGGCCGCAAGGCUAAAACUCAAAGGAAUUGACGGGGCCCCGCACAAGCGGCGGAGCAUGCGGAUUAAUUCGAUGCAACGCGUAGAACCUUACCUGGGUUUGACAUGGAUCGGGAGUGCUCAGAGAUGGGUGUGCCUCUUUUGGGGUCGGUUCACAGGUGGUGCAUGGCUGUCGUCAGCUCGUGUCGUGAGAUGUUGGGUUAAGUCCCGCAACGAGCGCAACCCUUGUUCACUGUUGCCAGCACGUUAUGGUGGGGACUCAGUGGAGACCGCCGGGGUCAACUCGGAGGAAGGUGGGGAUGACGUCAAGUCAUCAUGCCCCUUAUGUCCAGGGCUUCACGCAUGCUACAAUGGCUGGUACAGAGAGUGGCGAGCCUGUGAGGGUGAGCGAAUCUCGGAAAGCCGGUCUCAGUUCGGAUUGGGGUCUGCAACUCGACCUCAUGAAGUCGGAGUCGCUAGUAAUCGCAGAUCA